UCCCCGAUGGUCUAGUGGUCAUGAUUUCCGCUUGUCACGCGGGAGACCAGGUAAGCAGUUCAAUCUACUGGUUGCCAACAUCCUAACUAAUAAGUAUCGUAGGGUUCGAUUCCCUGUCGAGGAG